GUUUCAGAUGGUAAUCCAAUGUAUAAGCAAUGGACUGUUUUAUUCUUGGUGCUUUCAAGACCUGAUGCUUUGUUUUGAACAGGUUGAUACAUCUAGGAGUGAAAUACAUCACCGCUUUCCCUGCUCCCGCCGCCAUUAAAAUUGUGUUUGGCAUCUGACCACCAAGAUACAGAUAUUUCCUAGACUGUUUUGCAGCUAGGUACUUAGAUUUCAUACUAGGACCUUUCAUUGGCUGAACAAAGACAAAGACAGAAAUCAAGGAAGGUCAAAGAAGCAGUCAGUUUUCUGGCACCCAAAGUUGUUGGAGAAGGGUACAGAGUCGGUAAAUAAGUCAUAUGACAGACAGGCAGUAUUUUCUUAUUUUAAUAACAAGUUUAAAAAUCCCACUUCUUGUACUUACCUUCUGUCUGACGUCAUCAGUAUUUUAAAAUGCCAACUGGGAUCAAGUUCAACACUGCAUUACUGAAGAAUCCAGAUUAUCUACAUUUCAAGUGCCAAAUGAAAGAAAGAACCCAGAAAAUAAAACAAUAUGAUGAUAACAGUAAAAUUUUUUAAAAUGAAA
ensembl:lncRNA novel transcript